AAAAAGACAAAAAGAGAUAUAUAUAUAUAAUAGUAAAACAUAAUAAUAAAACAUGAUAAGAUAAUAAUACAUAAUAAGAUAAUAAAGCAUAAUAAUAAAACAUAACAAGAAGAAUCCCACCAAGCGUACGGGGUUCCGAAGAACCACAAGACGCAGAGCACCUGACAAUACCCAGAACCAGCGCAUUCGAGACAUUCGCUGUCUCAGCGCAUACCUCCCGCAAUAGACGACCUAACAAACAUCAGCUCCAUUCUAAAAAGAUUCAAAUUCUAAAAUUUAAUAACAAAAGAAGCCCAGAAGUGUCGGUCUACGACAGUAUUCAGCACACGCACCAUGACUCUGUUGAACGCCCCUAUCGCCAAUCUCAGCGGGGAGGGAAGUAAAUGGUCACCCGAAAACCAUUUACUCUUUGUAACACACCGAUCCGCAAAGUACAAGGUACCCAGCACAACGAAUUUAUGUCAAUUAACAAAUAUUGUAGCUACACAUACCUCAAAAUUGUAAAAUGCACCUAACGCAUGGAAACACAAACUACGAAUUCGGAUAACACAAUGACUUAAGUGAAAUAAUAUUUUUUUUUUCCUCUCUUUUCUCUUCCAAAUUUACUUGUUGAUAUCGUACCGAUAUGCAACAAUCUAGGCGGCCAGGUGUCACGUCCUGUGACGCAUUCUUGGAACCCUUAUUUCGCCAUCCACAUUCUUUAAACUCUUAUUUCAUUAUCCGAAUUCAUAGUUCCGAAAAGUCUGAGUGAGCAGCUCGCUCGGGUCAACGUAUCGCAAGAACGCUGACAAUCCGAACGAGGUGGUUCACCCGAACUGACAACCAAACGAUUGACCUCGCUCAUCAAUAUAUAAUAACGCGACCAAGCCCGCUCGCGACAGAUCCAAUAUCGCGCAGAACCAGUACAGAACCCGUGUAGACAGAACAGUAUAAUUUUUAUCAACCCCAGAAUUUGUAGUGAUCAGAUCACCUAAGCGAUCCGCGAAAGCUGUUCGGAAUCGGCCAGUUCGUCUAGCGAAAAUCCGAGAUACCAAUUCUAAGACGCGCACCUAACUCCGCGAAGUACGACUCUGCUACGGAACUCAGGGAUCCGACAGAGCAACCUCAUCCGUAAAGCGCGCGCAAGUUAAAGGUUGUACUCGAACCAAAUAAACAUUUGUUGUGAUCAGAAGUGCGUGAACCUCAAUUAGACCAUCUACCCUACCGACUCCACUAACCAAGACGACUCAUCUCUACAGGUAUCCGCGCCCAGCGAAAGGUAAGUAAGAACCCCUACCAAAUCAGUAGCUUAGAGAUAAUUAUACAAGUGCGCAGAGGACUCGGUGAGAGAGGGGACCCUGCGACUUCACAAUUCAGACAUUCAUGAGGAAAUUACAAGCAUAAAAUUAUGGAGCAGAAAAGUUGAAUAGAUACAUUACAGAUAUCUUCCAGCAUGGAAUGAAAUACUAGGACAUAUAACAAAAACAUAAGUACUAUGCAAACAGAUGCAAUUACUUUCUUGCAAGAUAUAUGUGGAAAUAUGUUUAAGACAUUCAUGAGGGAAUUGCAACCAAAAAAUUAUAGAGUAGAAAAGUUGAAUAGAUCCAUUAAAGAAAUUAAGGACAAUGUAUGCAUUUGUUGCAGUAUGUUAAUAAAAACAUACUUCGGAUAGUUCAAAUUCUUUAUGCAUAUUUCAAAAGUGAAAAUAAAGAUAUAACACUAAAUACAAAUAA